UACGUAGGGUGCGAGCGUUGUCCGGAAUUAUUGGGCGUAAAGGGCUCGUAGGCGGUCUGUCGCGUCGGGAGUGAAAACUCAGGGCUUAACCCUGAGCCUGCUUCCGAUACGGGCAGACUAGAGGUAUGCAGGGGAGAACGGAAUUCCUGGUGUAGCGGUGGAAUGCGCAGAUAUCAGGAGGAACACCGGUGGCGAAGGCGGUUCUUUGGGCAUUACCUGACGCUGAGGAGCGAAAGUGUGGGGAGCGAACAGG
rnacentral:rRNA from 1 species